GUGUCCCUGCUUGAGUUCGGACCUUUCUAUGAGAGCUUCGAUCUCUUUGGAGAAGUCGUGCUCAAACAUCUUGGUUCAGUCCGUUCUUCCGUUUGCGAGUUUUUUAAAUGCGAAGCGUUUUGUUUUUCAGCUCUUUUAUUGUCGCGUUCGUUCCUCGAGGGGGUUACUUCCUUGGAAACAUGCACGCGCUUUUAAUGCUACUUGAUGGUGCUUUUACUUCGUCGUUUCUUUUUCUCUCUUCUCAAUUUGAAUUUUAACCCUUUUCUUCUUCCUUUGCUUACUUCAUUUCUAAAAAAGAAUUUACUUUUGCCCCAAGCUUUUUCUUCUUUCUCUGGAGUUUUCUCCUCUUAGACCGUUCGUGUAUUUCACUUGCUCGGUGGAGAAAAGCUUCCUUUCUCCUUGCCCCCUGACCCAAGAUUGCCUCUUUUGGAGUUUCUCCUUUUGGUAGCAGCUGUGUCUUGCGGCUUCGUGCAUUUCGUCUUUCUGCUUUCUUCUUUUUCAGGGAUAGUUGGCUAGUUAACAUAGGUGGCCAUGUUGACAGGUUUUAACAGGAAAAGGGCAUUUACGAAGGAGUAAGAGGAGGGUCGCUGCACAAGUCAAACAGGAUAAUGUCGACCCAAAUGAGUCGACGGAGCCUAUAAUUGGAACUGCUCAAAGCGAGAAUGUAAUUUCGUGGCCUGAUGUAGGCCUUGGAGCUUCUAAAAUCACUGAAAAAAGGGACAUAACUCCAUCUGUCACAUAAAGGUUGGCUCCUGCAUGGGUAUAUUGUUGUUAAAUAGGCCUAAUUAUAACUCCUUUCAAUUUGUGCGAUGAAGUAGACUGAUUUUACGCAUACUAUGUUUGUUAAAUAAUUUGAGGUUCUGUCCUUGGAGAGCUAGCUGUUGUGCGCCAUUGAGAGUUAGUAACGGUUGCAGAAGUAUUUUUUAUUGUCAUUCGGGCUAGUAUGUUAUUUUAUUGUGUGGACCUUAUUCAUAGUGCUUCAUUUAAUAGUACUUUCAUUAUACAUUAUCUUUUCGGAACGAUUGAUUGGGAUUAGGGACGGAUCCAAGAUUGCAAGUAAUGGCCUUAGCCUGUUCAAAAUUUUAAAGAAGUAUAUAUAUUAGAUA